rnacentral:rRNA from 1 species
AGACCCGAAACCCGGUGAUCUAGCCAUGGGCAGGUUGAAGGUUGGGUAACACUAACUGGAGGACCGAACCGACUAAUGUUGAAAAAUUAGCGGAUGACCUGUGGCUGGGGGUGAAAGGCCAAUCAAACCGGGAGAUAGCUGGUUCUCCCCGAAAGCUAUUUAGGUAGCGCCUCGUGAACUCAUCUCCGGGGGUAGAGCACUGUUUCGGCUAGGGGGCCAUCCCGGCUUACCAACCCGAUGCAAACUGCGAAUACCGGAGAAUGUUAUCACGGGAGACACACGGCGGGUGCUAACGUCCGUCGUGAAGAGGGAAACAACCCAGACCGCCAGCUAAGGUCCCAAAGUCAUGGUUAAGUGGGAAACGAUGUGGGAAGGCCCAGACAGCCAGGAUGUUGGCUUAGAAGCAGCCAUCAUUUAAAGAAAGCGUAAUAGCUCACUGGUCGAGUCGGCCUGCGCGGAAGAUGUAACGGGGCUAAACCAUGCACCGAAGCUGCGGCAGCGACACUUUAGUGUUGUUGGGUAGGGGAGCGUUCUGUAAGCCGUUGAAGGUGUCCUGUGAGGGGUGCUGGAGGUAUCAGAAGUGCGAAUGCUGACAUAAGUAACGAUAAAGCGGGUGAAAAGCCCGCUCGCCGGAAGACCAAGGGUUCCUGUCCAACGUUAAUCGGGGCAGGGUGAGUCGACCCCUAAGGCGAGGCCGAAAGGCGUAGUCGAUGGGAAACGGGUUAAUAUUCCCGUACUUGGUGUUACUGCGAAGGGGGGACGGAGAAGGCUAUGUUGGCCGGGCGACGGUAGUCCCGGUUUAAGCGUGUAGGCUGGUUUUCCAGGCAAAUCCGGAAAAUCAAGGCUGAGGCGUGAUGACGAGGCACCACGGUGCUGAAGCAACAAAUGCCCUGCUUCCAGGAAAAGCCUCUAAGCAUCAGGUAACAUCAAAUCGUACCCCAAACCGACACAGGUGGUCAGGUAGAGAAUACCAAGGCGCUUGAGAGAACUCGGGUGAAGGAACUAGGCAAAAUGGUGCCGUAACUUCGGGAGAAGGCACGCUGACACGUAGGUGAAGUGAUUUACUCACGGAGCUGAAGUCAGUCGAAGAUACCAGCUGGCUGCAACUGUUUAUUAAAAACACAGCACUGUGCAAACACGAAAGUGGACGUAUACGGUGUGACGCCUGCCCGGUGCCGGAAGGUUAAUUGAUGGGGUCAGCGCAAGCGAAGCUCCUGAUCGAAGCCCCGGUAAACGGCGGCCGUAACUAUAACGGUCCUAAGGUAGCGAAAUUCCUUGUCGGGUAAGUUCCGACCUGCACGAAUGGCGUAAUGAUGGCCAGGCUGUCUCCACCCGAGACUCAGUGAAAUUGAACUCGCUGUGAAGAUGCAGUGUACCCGCGGCAAGACGGAAAGACCCCGUGAACCUUUACUAUAGCUUGACACUGAACAUUGAGCCUUGAUGUGUAGGAUAGGUGGGAGGCUUUGAAGCGUGGACGCCAGUCUGCGUGGAGCCGACCUUGAAAUACCACCCUUUAAUGUUUGAUGUUCUAACGUGGACCCGUAAUCCGGGUUGCGGACAGUGUCUGGUGGGUAGUUUGACUGGGGCGGUCUCCUCCUAAAGAGUAACGGAGGAGCACGAAGGUUGGCUAAUCCUGGUCGGACAUCAGGAGGUUAGUGCAAUGGCAUAAGCCAGCUUGACUGCGAGCGUGACGGCGCGAGCAGGUGCGAAAGCAGGUCAUAGUGAUCCGGUGGUUCUGAAUGGAAGGGCCAUCGCUCAACGGAUAAAAGGUACUCCGGGGAUAACAGGCUGAUACCGCCCAAGAGUUCAUAUCGACGGCGGUGUUUGGCACCUCGAUGUCGGCUCAUCACAUCCUGGGGCUGAAGUAGGUCCCAAGGGUAUGGCUGUUCGCCAUUUAAAGUGGUACGCGAGCUGGGUUUAGAACGUCGUGAGACAGUUCGGUCCCUAUCUGCCGUGGGCGCUGGAAGAUUGAGGGGGGCUGCUCCUAGUACGAGAGGACCGGAGUGGACGCAUCACUGGUGUUCGGGUUGUCAUGCCAAUGGCACUGCCCGGUAGCUAAAUGCGGAAAAGAUAAGUGCUGAAAGCAUCUAAGCACGAAACUUGCCCCGAGAUGAGUCUUCCCUGAGACUUUGAGUCUCCUGAAGGAACGUUAAAGACGAUGACGUUGAUAGGCCGGGUGUGUAAGCGCAGCGAUGCGUUGAGCUAACCGGUACUAAUGAACCGUGAGGCUUAACCUUACA